rnacentral:rRNA from 1 species
ACGAACGCUGGCGGCGUGCUUAACACAUGCAAGUCGCGCGGAAAGGCCCUUCGGGGUACUCGAGCGGCGAACGGGUGAGUAACACGUGAGUAACCUGCCCCAGACUUUGGGAUAACCCUCGGAAACGGGGGCUAAUACCGGAUACGACACAGCUUCGCAUGGGGUCUGUGUGGAAAGUUUUUCGGUUUGGGAUGGGCUCGCGGCCUAUCAGCUUGUUGGUGGGGUGAUGGCCUACCAAGGCGACGACGGGUAGCCGGCCUGAGAGGGCGACCGGCCACACUGGGACUGAGACACGGCCCAGACUCCUACGGGAGGCAGCAGUGGGGAAUAUUGCACAAUGGGCGGAAGCCUGAUGCAGCGACGCCGCGUGAGGGAUGACGGCCUUCGGGUUGUAAACCUCUUUCAGCAGGGACGAAGCGUAAGUGACGGUACCUGCAGAAGAAGCGCCGGCCAACUACGUG